UACAGAGGGUGCGAGCGUUGUCCGGAAUCACUGGGCGUAAAGGGCGCGUAGGCGGCCUGAUAAGUAGGGGGGUGAAAUCCUGUGGCUUAACUGCAGGGCUGCCUCCUAGACUGUUAGGCUCGAGCACGGUAGAGGCAGAUGGAAUUCCCGGUGUAGCGGUGGAAUGCGCAGAUAUCAGGAGGAACACCAAUAGCGAAGGCAGCUCGCUGGGACGGUACUGACGCUAAGGCGCGAAAGCGUGGGGAGCGAACAGG
rnacentral:rRNA from 1 species